AGCGAACGUUAGCGGCGGGCCUAACACAUGCAAGUCGAGCGAGAAAGGGACUUCGGUCCUGAGUACAGCGGCGGACGGGUGAGUAACACGUAGGUAAUCUGCCCUUCAGUCGGGGACAACGGUCCGAAAGGACCGCUAAUACCGGAUUCGUUCCUCGGGACCUCGGUCCUGGGGAGGAAAGCUGCCUCGCAAGAGGUGGCGCUGGAGGAGGAGCCUGCGUCGCAUCAGCUAGUUGGUGGGGUAANGGCCUACCAAGGCUAAGACGCGUAGCUGGUCUGAGAGGAUGAUCAGCCACACUGGGACUGAGACACGGCCCAGACUCCUACGGGAGGCAGCAGUGGGGAAUAUUGGACAAUGGGGGCAACCCUGAUCCAGCCACGCCGCGUGAGUGAUGAAGGCCU
rnacentral:rRNA from 1 species